rfam:Picea glauca, whole genome shotgun sequence.
UGGUGCGAUCAUACCAGCGUUAAUGUAUCGGAUCCCAUCGAAACUCUGCAGUUAAGCGCGCUUGGAAUAUAGUAGUACUGGGAUGGGUGACCUCCCGAGAAGUCCUAGUGUUGCACCCU